rnacentral:rRNA from 1 species
AACGAACGCUGGCGGCAUGCCUAACACAUGCAAGUCGAACGAGACCUUCGGGUCUAGUGGCGCACGUGUGCGUAACGCGUGGGAACCUGCCCUUAGGUACGGAAUAACUCCCCGAAAGGUGUGCUAAUACCGGAUAAUCUCUUCGGACCAAAGAUCUAUCGCCUUUGGAUGGGCGCGCGUUGGUUUAGGUAGUUGGUAGUGUAAAAGCCUACCAAGGAGACGAUCCAUAGCUGGUCUGAGAGGAUGAUCAGCCACACUGGGACUGAGACACGGCCCAGAAUCCUACGGAACGCAGCAGUGGGGAAUAUUGGACAAUGGGCGAAAGCCUGAUACAGCAAUGCCGCGUGAGUGAUGAAGGCCUUAGGGUUGUAAAGCUCUUUUACCCGGGAUGAUAAUGACGGUACCGGGAGAAUAAGCACCGGCUAACUACGUG